UUUAUUUUAAAAUCAAUAGCAAUUGAAAAAAAAAUUAAAAUUUCGCAUAUGUAUUAACAGAUCCCUGCACCGUGGGGAGAGUGAGAGAAAAAAGUGGAAAUAAAUCUGUAAUUCUUAAACGGAUAGUCCGAUUUUAAUAAAAAUUUAUAUAGAGGAGAUGCAGCUGAAACGCAAAGGUGGACGGAAUCUACUAGAAGAGACCUACAAGAUAUUCGCAUUUGAAAAUUAAAAUUUCUGUUUAUUAUAAAUAUGUAUAUAAAUAACACUGUGCUAGUUGAAAAAACUGUCAAGCAGGGCACCCGAUGGGUUAAACUAAUUCAGGUACACUGAUCAAGCAAAUAUCGCCUAACAAUAUUUUAAAAUUUUUUCCCACAUUUUUACAAUAAAAAUUUUUAAUUUUUAAAAA